AAAAAAGAAAACACAACCCCCGCAUCCAUCUUCCCCAAUCCCGCAUGGGCCGCCGCCCUCUGCCCCAUCGCGCCGCCGCCCCCGUCGCCCAAACUGCCACGACCCAUCACCUCCACGCGCCGCCGAGCUGCAGCGGUGGCAGCUGCCACUGUCGCGGCCUUGCGGGGUUGGGGUCGAAUGGCACGGCCUAGCCAAGGGACGUCCAUGGCGGGCAGCAGGCACGAGAAGGGGAGCCAAAGUAAUGGAAGGAGGGUGGCGCGAGGGCCGAAAACUUCACCGAAAUCAGGCGAUCAGCGGCGCGUCCGCCGUUCCGCACGAGGCACGGCAGGGGGUAGGGUCGUGGGCAGCCGUGGCCGUGAGGCUCCAUGGUAAAUUUUGGCACCAGACACUAAUCAUUGUGGCUCUCAUAAUGAUGCGGCACCCCAAGUUGACGGUGCUCUGUGCCUUGCUGUUGUGCUUGUUUUCUGGACGGUAGUUGAAGCUACAGCUUUUGCAGCACCCGAGUGUUUGGCAAAAUUGGAUUACUUAAUUACCUGUUGUGUUCCAUGCUGGUUAAGGCUUGGGAGGAUUGUUCCGAAUUUGAUAUCGAGGAAGCACACUAGCAACGCAACAACUGGUAAGAUGACGAUGUCACUCUUCAUAAACUAUCGAGGCACGUGGCCAUAGCCAUGGACUUUGCGGCCGGCCUGCUUAUCCUUGCCAAGGCAAAAAUGCAUGACCCAGUUUCCAACUUUGAACGCCGACAUGGACGACGGCCUCAAGUGCUCCAGCAUCUUCUUUGUAGAAUAUGUGGAGAGGCAGUUUGCACCAUAGUUCAAGCCAGACUCUAGAUUACAUGGCUAAGGAGCUCACUUAUACUGGCAAUUGUUUACUGUCUUUAUUUAAAUUAAAAUGGUUUAUGUACUCUGUCGGGGCAGUCAUAUGCCAUAUUAAUUUCAGAUGAACAAUUUCCAAUUUAAUGUUGUGCUUGUAUGUA